AAUUUUCAUUCAGGUGUUUCUUUCCAUAUUUGUCUUCCAUGCAGAAAGCAAGCUUAAAACAGUUGUUGAAGUUGAAGGAUUCCUCAGAACUCAUCCAUUUUAGCACAUGGAAAAGUUUGAAGGAAAAGAGUCAAGAUCUCCAUAAUGAUUUUGUUUCGUUUUGA
rnacentral:lncRNA from 1 species